ACGUGACGUGAUAGGCGGCUAUACUGUGUGUCACUGUCGCUUCGGUACGCUCUGCCCGCUUCACUGUACCGUAGAGCGUACUGUCACUAUGCACUGGUACUGUAAGGCCUUGUUUGUGAUUUUUUUUUUUAAUUUCGCUACUUUAUCACUUUCGUUUUUAAUUGACAAAUAUUGUUUAAUUAUGGAGUAAUUAGGCUUAAAAGAUUCGUCUCGUGAUUUACAGAUAAACUGUACAAUUAGUUUUUGUUUUUAUCUAUAUUUAAUGUUUAAUGAAUAUGUCAUAAGAUUCGAUGUGACGGGGAACUUUGAAAUUUUUUUGGUUUUUGGUAAAAACUAAAACAAGGCCUAUGCCUUGUUCAGUUCCUGAGUGAAAAAAUUUCGGGACAUUUUAGCACUUUCGUUGUUUUUGGUAAUUAUUGUCUAACUAUAGACUAAGUAGGCUCAAAAGAUUCGUCUCGUCAAUUUCGACCAAACUGUGCAAUUAGUUUUUAUUUUCGUCUAUAUUUAAUACUCCAUGCAUGCAUCUAAAGAUUCGAUGUGACGUGAAAUCUUAAAAAAUUUUGGAUUUUUGGAUGGAAGUAAACAAGGCCCUAAGAGAAGUGGGCAAAUAGGGCCGUGUUUACUUCCUCAACAAAAAAUUCCGUGAUACUGUAGCACUUUCGUUUGUUUGUGGUAAUUAUUGUACAACCAUGGACUAACUAGGCUCAAAAGAUUUUUCUCAUCAAUUCCGACCAAACUGUGCAAUUAGUUUUUAUUUUUAUUUAUAUUUAAUACUACAUACAUAUGUCUAAAGAUUCGAUGUGACAGGGAAUCUUGAAAAAUUUUGGGUUUUUGAGUGG
rnacentral:lncRNA from 1 species